rnacentral:lncRNA from 1 species
AAAAGACUAAAAGUAUCAAAAGCGGUAACCCUACAGUUUUUUAGGAUGCAAGUCCAACUGUAGUCCUUAACAAAUGAGCUAUCUACCGACUAUCCUGAGCCUGAAAUGGUUGAAAAGGAGAGUGGUGAGAUUAUAUAAUCCCAGUGAGUAAAUAAAUAUCAUCUAAAAUAUCUAAAGCCAAGUAAAUGGAGAUAGAUAAAAUAGUUUAACAUAAAAAUGAUUCACAGCAUUUUGAACUCAUUUGAAUAAGAUAAAAUAGAUUCAUUUCACCUAAAUAAACAACGAGGCUUAUGAUUUCCUGAAAAGUUUGGCUCGUGCCAAAAUCAUUCUCAUACUCAGUUAUCAGGGAUACCUUGGCCGAGGCUAUCACAACCGAGUCCGCCAAGGCUGUUAAAAAGUUAUGUAUGCAUAAAUCAUAUUUUUAUUUUGAAAACAUAGUCGUUCCUUGGCGUUGGCUGAGUUCACCCUCAAGUGGUUGUUUGGCGUGAAGUGAACUCUAAAGUUUUAACCUCAGGAGUUAUCCAACGCACCUCUCAUACUGAGGUAUGAAUAUAAUAAGGUUACCGUGCCCCUCUAAUAGGAUGGUCCACGAAACCUGUCCACUGCAGCGACCAAUUAUAACCCACCAAUUCAAUAAAAUUCAAUAGCAUGACAUGGUAAUUAUUUUAUUUUACAGCCUUUCAAGGCAAAUCAACAGUUCAUACUUUUUCAGCACAUUUACCAAUUUAACCAUUCAUGCCAAUAUUAUCAUAAGCCAUUCAAUUCAAACCAUGACUUAUAACACAGCAAUUAGUCUCCAAUUACUCCAUUUUCAAAACCAUCUUUCAAUUUCAAGACAAUUUUAUAAAAUCAUUUCAUUUAAUCACAUUUUGUUUAUAAAACAUAAAGAUUUACCAUUUAAACUCAUUUUUUAUAAAAUUACAAAAACGAAUUAAAAUUCACUUCAGAUAAUCAAGAUGAUGAUAAGGUUACUCACUGUAAUGGAAAUCGAGUUUCGAGUACUCUAAUUCUUGAUCCUCGGGUACUAUCUCUUUACUUUUGCCAGAAUGCUCACCACCUAGACAUAAUGCACAAUAAGCCAUUUACUACAUUUGUGCUAAAUUGUUAUAAAUCCAAUUCAGGCUUUAUACUAAUGCAUGAAAUGGGAUGUAAAUUGUUCGAUUAUCGUCUAAACACGGUGUUCUACACAAAUUCAAUUGUGUACCUAAAUAAAACGAUAUUAGCCUAAUUCGAUCUAUCACUCGAUUAAUUGGCAAAUAUGUCCAAUUCAACUCCAAUAAUUCCAUUUUUCUUCCAAUUCUCCAAACCAUCAAACACAAGUCAAAUAACUUGAAAUAUGGCAAAAUCAUCCUCACAUUUUCUCUUGAAAAAUUCAGCCAUGGUGGGUGCAUCAACACUAUGAUUUUUUCUACUUGAUUUUAUUACCCUAAUUCAUCAUUUCCUAACCAAUUCACUUGAAAUAAAAUCAAAUACACCAUCAACACUCUACAAGGAAGAUUCAGCCAAUGAUGAACUCAUGAGGAAUAUGUGAAUUUCAAGCUUAAUUCUUAUACUUAACACCAUAAACAACUAAAAACAUCCAUAUAUCUUAAAAAUCUAUCUAAAUCAUCAUCAAAUUCUCUCUUCUAGGGUUUGAUCAGCACAUUAUCCUUCAUAAUAUCUUGUGAUUCAACAAUGGAAAAUGCAAAAUAAUGCUUAAGAAAGAGAGAUCUCAAGCUUAAUUGAAAAAUCUUACCUUUUUUUCACUUGUUUCCUUGAAUUUUCACACUUUUCCCUUGAAUUUUUCCACCUAGGGUUUUGUUCUUCCUUUUCUUCCUUUGUUCUUGCUUUGGCCGGC